rnacentral:rRNA from 1 species
AUUGAACGCUGGCGGCAGGCCUAACACAUGCAAGUCGAACGAGUGGCGGACGGGUGAGUAAUGUCUGGGAAACUGCCUGAUGGAGGGGGAUAACUACUGGAAACGGUAGCUAAUACCGCAUACCAUCAGAUGUGCCCAGAUGGGAUGAGCUAGUGGGUGGGGUAAAGGCUAACAAAGGCGACGAUCCCUAGCUGGUCUGAGAGGAUGACCAGCCAUACUGGAACUGAGACACGGUCCAGACUCCUACGGGAGGCAGCAGUGGGGAAUAUUGGACAAUGGGCGCAAGCCUGAUGCAGCCAUGCCGCGUGUAUGAAGAAGGCCUUCGGGUUGUAAAGCACUUUAAGCGGGGAGGCGUUACCAGCAGAAGAAGCACCGGCUAACUCCGUGCCAGCCGCCGCGGUAAUUC